CUGGCGGACGGGUGAGUAACGCGUGGGUAACCUACCUCAUACAGGGGGAUAACAGCUGGAAACGGCUGCUAACACCGCAUAAGCCUACAGUCUCGCAUGAGACAGUAGGAAAAUAUUUAUAGGUAUGAGAUGGACCCGCGUCUGAUUAGCUAGUUGGUAAGGUAACGGCUUACCAAGGCGACGAUCAGUAGCCGACUUGAGAGAGUGAUCGGCCACAUUGGGACUGAGACACGGCCCAAACUCAUACGGGAGGCAGCAGUGGGGAAUAUUGCACAAUGGGGGAAACCCUGAUGCAGCGACGCCGCGUGAGUGAAGAAGUAUUUCGGUAUGUAAAGCUCUAUCAGCAAGGAAGAUAAUGACGGUACUUGACUAAGAAGCCCCGGCUAACUACGUGCCAGCAGCCGCGGUAAUACGUAGGGGGCAAGCGUUAUCCGGAUUUACUGGGUGUAAAGGGAGCGUAGGUGGUAUGGUAAGUCAGAUGUGAAAGCCCAGG
rnacentral:rRNA from 1 species